rnacentral:tRNA from 2 species
AAGUUACCAAUCCAUCAGAAGAAUCAAUCCUAAGACUUGCAAUCUUAUGUAAUUAAUUAUACUAACC